CCCUUAGAUGUUCUGGGCUGCACGCGCGCUACACUGAUGCGCUCAACGAGUUUUAACCUUGCCUGGAAAGGUUGGGUAAUCUUUUUAAAACGCAUCGUGAUGGGGAUAGAUUAUUGCAAUUAUUAAUCUUCAACGAGGAAUUCCUAGUAAGCGUGAGUCAUCAGCUCGCGUUGAUUACGUCCCUGCCCUUUGUACACACCGCCCGUCGCUACUACCGAUUGGAUGGUUUAGUGAGACCCUCGGAUCGGUCCCGACUCGGGGUGGGCUUCUGCCCCGGUCGUGGUUUCGCCGAGAAGACGGUCAAACUUGACUACCUAGAGGAAGUAAAAGUCGUAACA
rnacentral:rRNA from 1 species